CGGGGAAGCUCUGACGUCCGCUGCCGCCGCCGAGAGGUGGCUCCCCGCGGCUGGGAGACGCCCGACGGCGCGGACGGGGCGUUGUGGGGCCGGCCCCGGGAAGAGCGCAGCCUGUCAGCUGCGCUUCCUCGGUCCGGCGCGGGGGUCGGGCGGGCAGUGGGGGCAGCAGUCGCCCCCCACUCGCCAGGGGCCGGGGGCUGGGUAUGUCGCGGCUUCCUGUGCGCCCUGGGGCGGCCGCGGUGGGACCUUGAUUCACCCUGCCCCGGCCUCCUCGUCGUCCUGGCGCUGGCUCCAGCGCUGGCCUCCCUGCCAGGUUGGGUGACUUAGCAACUGCACGCCCGGCUGAGCGUCCUGGCGGCGCCGGGCUGUACACAAACGAAAUCAAAAUCCGCCCCGGCCCCCGAACCAGCCCCGCACGCCGGCGGCGGCCAGGGCUGCUGCCCCACGGGCUGCCCCCGGAGCCUUCGCAGCGCGUACCCGCUCUGAGGCGGCCAGCCGAGGCCGGGGGCAGGAGCAAGGAGAAGGGGACAAUCCCGCCGGGGCACCGACGUGCUCCCGGAGAGCCAAGGGUUAACAUUGGCUCGCUUUUACCGAGCAGCCCUCCUUUCGCAUUGCAUCGAAGUCCUUUAAAGCUGUUUCUCUUCCCUCCUCCUCUCCCCGGCUGGAAAGACGAUUUAUCCAUGCAUGCUAAGUAAACAGAGCUUUGUUUUCGUCUUCCACCCACUGCCCUCUUUCUCCAGCUCGAAGCUGGAGCCUCGCCAAGCCGGCUGCAGCGAUCGCUGCCUACACACACACACACACACUCACACAUACGGGGGAAGAAGCCGGGUUUCUCGGAUGAGGCAACGAGCCUGCAAUUGGCAGGGACAAGGCAGGAAUUGUAAUUGCACUUCAUCAUGUGAUGGCUUAUGAAAGAGGAAGUUUGGAUGUUUUAGUCACGUACUCCUUUGCCCUCUUGCUUUAGCCUCCAGGUUCUCCGAAGGAAAAAAUUACAUAUAUUUAUAUAUACUGGUGGAAAGCCAAGAAACAGUGUGUUUGCACAUUUCAGAUCAUGAGCAGAGCUGGAGUGCUAGCUGAGCAAGGCUGCAGGGGAAGAAGAAAGCAAGGCUUUCAACUGUGGCAGGCUUUUAACUGCAGGACAGAAAAUGUGAUCUGUAUUCAUUUUCCCUUAUUUCUAAUCAAAACUAGCUGCAUGGAAAAGUCAAGACGAGCAGUAUUCUGGUUCUGCCACAUUUACUGCCUUUGAAUUCAUUCUGGUGGAAAAGGCAAAAAAAAGCCAAACAAAAACCCAUGUUACUGAGCUCAAUGUCAAAAAGCUGAUAAAAAAUAGUGGCAGUGCUACAUAGGAAAUGCGGUUUAUGUAUCAAAUCACAAAAAAAAAUACCUCAAAGCUGCUGACUGCUACAGCGGUAACUGCACAGGAAUCAAACAAAUAAUGCGUUUGUUUCUUGUUCCCUUUUUUUUCUCAUUUUUGAAACAGAAACCAUCCUUUUGUGCCUGAUCUCUGCAAAACGCCGCUUGCUAUGACACACCAAGGCUAUAGAUAGGAGCAGUGAGUGCUGGAGGACGUCUGAUGGGAUGUGGGGCUGUGCAGGUCUGAGGCAGUGCCUGGCCAAGGAGCACCAUGGUAGCUUGGAUGGGGGUCUAGCACGGUGUGGAAAGCCUUUGUCUUGUUCUGGUGUGCCCAAUAUCAUGGGUUAGGGAAAGAAGGGAGAGGAGAGGUUGAAGAGGGCAGCUCUUUGAGAUGAACUGUGUCUGCCACCCCUACAUCGCCACGGCAAGCCCCUUUUCACUGUGUGUUUUUUGGCUUUUUUCAGUGAACCACACUGAGAUUUUACUGUGUUUCUCUUUCUCCCUGCAGGAUCCUAUUUAGUUUACCACCUGUCCUCUGUGCUAGUGGAAGUGAUCGCAUGCAGCUCUUUGUCCCAGAACUGUGCCCCCAGCCUGCACUUUACCUACAUAUUCAUCCCCCAUGGGGCCUGCCCUUCCUUCUGUGUCCAAACCACUGCUCCUCACCUGCUCUCCUGUGCCCUUGGCAUUCCUCUUUCCCUCCCCAUCAAGAGCUGUCUCGCAUACUCAUCCAGCAGAUAUACACUGCUUCCUCCACAGCUCUUAUUGGCAUCCUUCUGUUGCAGCAGAAGUCCUGCAGGGUAGUAUCAAAAUGGCCAGAGCCAAGAUGGAAAAGUGAUUAUGUUGGAGAGUGCUACCACCUCUCCUUCAUUGAUCCAUAAUGAAUUAUGGAGCUUGUUCUCCCAGAACUGAGAGAAGAGAGGCUGGGAAUAGUCCUUGAGGUUUUGGAUUUGGUCAGAUGCAGGUGAUUCUGGGCCAACAAUGUUAGUGCCAUAGGGAAAAAAAAAAGAUACCGAUGCAAAUGAGAGUGUAAUCAGGCACAGCUUGUUGACAUAAAUAGGCUUUGGACAGGCUCAUGGUAAGCCACCGAUCCUGCAGAUGUUUACAACCACUUAUAACUUUAUUCACGGGAGCAUCACUAUGAAUGUAAAGCCAUGUGCACUUACGUGCUCACUGGGUAAGAGCACGCUUGCCUGAGAGCCGCUUGUCAGUGGUGUGCUGACGGCUGCCCUGCAGCCUGGAGCUGAGUGUUGAUGGCAGGAGCUGACAGAGGCACUGGCACAGAAAUACUCUACUGAGGCUGGAGAGAGGUCACUGCACUAGCUCCCUGCAAGGCAGGACAUGCCAGAGGAUUGAGAGGGACUCGAGCAGCUACUCAGUGUCUGCCCUUUUCCAUACAUGGUGCCUUUUAUUAACUCCUUGAAAACAGCUGCAUUGAACGCUGCUGUUUUGUGUUAACUUCUGAAGAGCUGUGAGGCUCCUAAGCAGAGCCUGCCUAGAAAAGGAAACAGCAGAAGGAGACUGGUGUACCAUCUCCUGAAAUAUGUAUGUAUGCUGAUAUUCUGCUCCAGUAUUUUGCUUUAGAUAGUUUGGGCAGGACUAGUUACAAGGGACUCACACUGCAAACAAGAGCCUGGGUACUACAGCUUCUGCUCCAUUGGUGGGCUCUACCCUAGACAGUUUGGAGCAAAAAUUGCAUGCUUUCUUUAAAAAAGCAAAAAAUUCUGUUUUUAACUGUGCAGUGCAGUUGACUUUAUGCCUUCUUUUCAAGCAGGAGUAGAAAAAAAGCAUCAAGGAAAAGAUCAUGGAAGUACUUAAGAAUUUCAGAAGUUACUACCCUUGGAAGAGAAAGAAAAACUUCAGAGAGACACUUCCAGAUACCAGAAGAAAGGGCAGUACCCCUCCUUUGCAGGGAGCCCCUCAGGGAGCAUUCUGCGCAGUCAGAGGAGGGAAGAAAUGCUCUUCUCUGUGCUUCAGCCCAUAGCCUUAUCUUUUUGAUGACUGCAGUGUAAUAUGUAAGUAAAAACAAGUAAAAAAGAGUAAUUUUGUCUUCUUGUACGCUCUGUCAUAUGCGUAGUAUAAUACUGUGUAGCAUUGCUGAGGAGCAAUACUUAUGAGUUUAAGCAUUAAUGAUGCGUUCACAAACUUAAAGCAGAUCUGUAUUGCAUUACCUCAUCCUGUCCAUGUGUAGUUUCAGGCAAAAAAAUCAUGCACAUCUGUUUUCCAGGGACAUACAUCCCUCCUUCUCAAGCUGAGCUCCAAAGAGAGGUGCCUGCUAGGAAGUACAGUUGAGUUCAUAUUUGAUUAAAAGAACACUAGCAACAUUAAUAACUGGUACACCUGUGCUGGAAUUGGCAAUUAAACUCAGUCUCCUCCUGCGAAUUUUAGUCAUUAAAGGAACUUGCCGAAGGCUGGGACUUGGGUAUCACUUAGUCUCCCAAACAGGACUGGAUGAGGGACCAGUCAUCUUCAUAAUGGGUCCUGCCAAGAACCUUGCAUCAUGCUUGAGGAAUGGGCAUGUCAGUGAGCUCGCUGGGGUGGCUGCAGAGGCUGCUUGCACAGCCACCACUCUCUGCUGAUUCAGGGGUCUUGCAUGUGCUCCUGGAAGGUGCCAGACAGGCAUCCCUCAACAACCUGCCCCCUAACAUGUCUCAUCACAGUCUCAACGCACAGUUCAUCAUGAUCAGGAGUACUAAGCAGCUGCCUCUUUGCUCCAUGGUCUGCUUCCACUUCCCAUACGCCUUGUGCAGCCUCAGAGGUUAAUGACUUUUGAAUAUUGCAGAUCUGGGAUGGGUUUCAAUGGCUGAUCCAGAGGCAAGAGGGUGAUCAUCUUGAUCAUCCAUUUUCCCUCUGCCAGUUACUAUUAUUGCUAACUGCUGUUCCACACACAUUGUAAUUAAGUGGAAAAAAUACAGACCAAAUGAAAAAGGGUACAAGCCUCUCAAAAACAUCUCUGCUUUAGCUGCAGCCUGACUCAGCCUUCAAUUAACAUUCUUACUUAAAAUAGUUUUGUUAUACAGCUUUUGUUAAAUCUUACAUAAUAGCAGACCAAAUCACCACCCCAGAGCACCAUGAGCUUGGCCCUGGUUUCCAGAGCACCAUCUCAUCCUGUCUUUGAUCCAAAUAGUCUUGGAUAUGGGUGAGCUACUGGAGGAGAGCAUGCAGCACACUUGCAGCUUUGCCUUGGUGGGCACAAUGAGCUGGUGCUGCCGCUAGAAAAAGUGGUCCCACUCUCCCCCACUCUGGCUGCUUGGUUCUGCCUAACGCUGCCCUUGGCAUCUUGCCUGCAUUGCUGCUGGAGCAAAUCCGGCAGCACCAACAGAUGCAGAGCAGCUAAACCUGCCCAGGUGCCCCCAUCCUGCUGUGCUGGUGCUCCUGGGGCAAAAGGGAGCAGGCCGGGAUGGGAGGCUGGGAAGGGACCUCAGCAGUGGGAUCACUUUGGAGCUGUAGCAGAAGCCUCUCAUGCUGCACCUGUACCCAUCCUGUUACUCACCAGUGGCUGUGCCCCACCUCAUCAGGCUGCUGGAGUGCACACUGGGGAAGAGGGAGGGACACAUGGACCAGCUGGGCUUCCAAGGGUCACGGGACCACUCUGGAUGUAGGUCUACCAUUUCCUACCAGGGCCUGAGGAGCUUGAGAAGUGGGAUCCAUCUCUUGCAGAGCACUAUAGCAUCCCUGCCUCCAUCACCAACACUGAUAAUGUGGGGAAAUCCCUGCGCUGUAGAGGAGUGUCCUUAUGGCUCAGUAGAGCUACAAAAACAUUUAAGUACCAGCAUGAUUUUUUUGAUGUUGUUCUUAUCGGGCCUGGUGUCUAACUGGUACAAAACUGGAAUAAAACAGUGUACAUGUGUGUGUGUGUAUAUUCAUUUAUGUGCGUGCCCACAAAAUACAAAAGGGGACUUUGUAUUAAAAUCUGGAAAAUUGGCACAUGGGAUACAGGUAUGAAGGGAGGAAGAUACUCCCUUGUCUACUUCAGUUUGGGGGACUACUUUCCAUUUGAAGCCAUUGAUGUCAAGUUUAUGGCUCCACAAGUGUUCUCUGGGAUUGUGAGAACCUUAGCCUGAGACUGCGUGAUGCUCCUGGACUGGGAUGGUGUUUCAAAUGGAGAGACAGCUGGGAAAAGAAAGAGCCAGGCACAUCUAAACCUAGUAUCGCUCAUCACCCCUGACCUCAGGAAACCAGUGAUCACAGUGGGAACAUAGUUCCUGCCGGAGGCAGCUCGGCUAAGUCACUGAAUUUUCACUAGAGUGGCAUUUGGCCUGAGGUGAUAAUGCACAGCACCGGUUAAGCAGUCAUUGCAGCUGACAGCUCACUCCUGCCUCGUCCAGAGAACCGUAGCAUCUGCUUGGCUCAGCUCAGGGUCCCAGCCUGACUCAUCGCCAGUGCUGAGGGGGGUUGCUCCUGCUAGUGCUCCCCUCUGCCAAGGAGCUGGGAAAACUCCUAGGACUGACAGAAAAGUCACAUCAUGGGCUCAGCUCCCCUUCCUCUAGGAGAUCUGCAGUGGCAUGCAACCUGGAAAGAAGCAGGUUAAUGCAAGAGAGGCCCUUUCUUGUGAAUUGUUUUAUACUGAGUUACGUGUUUUGGCAGACUUUUUGAUGAAUAGGUCAGCAGGGUGUGGAAACAUAUUCUAAAGCUUUCUGCAUCCUUGCACAUGCUUCUGGUUGCCGGGGGUUUUGCCUACUGCUUCACUUGGAAAGGUUUAAAAGAAAAUGCAAAUCAUAGGCAAAAGGUAGAGAUAGAUUUUUGUACGUCAGUUUGGUGCAGAUUUUAGCCAUUCCCUUAUCAUUUGUAAAACAAUAGAAAGAACCCCAACUCAGCUCUAUACGAUAUGAAAAUACCAGUUUCUCUGUUUACAAAUGGUUGAAAAAAACCCAUCCCAACUGCUAUAUGCAGCUCCAGGUAGCAUACAUACAUUUCUUUAGAACUUACUUUGCCUCAGAAUGGGUAUAGGGCACAUAUGGGAAGAACCUGGACUUUUUCACACCUUCUUCCAAAACUAGCAUUGGUAAUAAAAAGAUAUUAUUUCAUGUAUUUCAAAAACAGGUGACUAUUUCUGCUAGGCUUUCAGAAUCAAACUUCUACACUUGAAAUAUGAGAAAAAUCAGAUGAGCAAAAGACUAAGAAACUCUUCAGAUGUAAUCAGAUACACUGUCUGACAGACUGGAAUACUUAAAAUCCUCUUCAACCAAUGGCAUGUCAAGACAUGCCUGCUUUGGACACUGUAAAGACAUCCAGCCCCCAUAUUUUACAUGCCCUCCUAAUUACAUUCAUAUGUUCAGUUUCAUAUUUGACCUCUCUUGCAACAGAGUGCCGAGUAAAGUACUCCUCCUCCUAGGUCUUAUAUAGGAAUUAAACUGGAGAGUGUGGAGAAUUCAUGAUUGUUGUAUUCCUCAUACACACACUGGAGUGACAUAAGGAGUAAGCAGAAUAAAAACAUUUUAAAAACCA